CUCCCACUGUCACUCGUCUCACUCUCCACCGUCUCUCUCUCUUCUCUCCCGUCCUCUCCCCUCACUGCCUUCUUUUCCCCUUUUGACCGAACCCUCUCCCCAUUUUCUGCUCGUUUUCGAUUUUUCUCCAAUCAAGUACUUUCUCUCACUGAUUUUCACUGUGCUAUCACUGUUGGAUCCGUUUUCAGCUUGGGGAUUUGUCUUCCCCCUCGUAACAGCAAUUAGAGAAGGCCUUGGUAGUGGCGGCAUUGGAGGAUUUUAGCCGUUUGGGGACCACUUGGACGCGUGAGGUGGCUGCCGGGAGGAUUACAGCAGUUUAGACCUUCAAUCGGGGUUCACCGGGUACGUCCCGUCGACCUUGAGUUACCGGAUUCGAAGCUCGAGGCAUUUUGAAGAUUCUUGUGAACGCGCCACAGGUUUUGGUGUACCCGGGGCAGCAGGCUGAGCAGAUGGCUACACUCACGUCCUACUGGGGAGGUUUUGGGUUUUGUUUUGUUCUUGUAGUGCCGGCGCGUCGGGUUUUUGGUUUUUACUGAUGCCUUGUUUUGAUGAGGCAUCGAUGUUGUGAUUUUGGGGCAUUUUUGUCAAAUGUACAAUUGAAUUGAAAU